rnacentral:misc_RNA from 1 species
UCUCAUCACAUGUUCUUUUCUCAAACUACAAAUAGCAAAAAGGCUCAUACCUUUCGAUACAAGCCUUCUCUAAAUAUGACAAAGCUAGAGUAAUUCAAACUCCCAACACGCGCGUUCUUAUGGUGGGGGAAUCCGCGGCUCUUUUCUCAAACUACAAAUAGCAAAAAGGCUCAUACCUUUCGAUAUGAGCCUUCUCUAAAUAUGACAAAGCUAGAGUAAUUCAAACUCCCAACACGCGCGUU